CUACUAACUACUCCCAUCUCAUCAUCAAGAAAAAAGAGUUAUAGGAAUAUUACUAUAUUAGCCAUUGAAGUCAAUUAUUGGCUUGGUAAUUUUCUUAGCAUUAUAAAUAAGUGUAAAGAUUGAUAGAUCGAGGACACAAAUUCUAUAAGCUCAAAUUUAUUUUAGCUAUGGAGAGAAUUGCCAUCUUUGCCAUCAUUUUGCUCGUGUCUUUGUGCCAACAUGGGCAAGCAGGAAAGGAAACACCGUUGACGACACAACCAAAAGGGAGAUAUUAGAUGAGGCGAAGAAGGUGUUAGAGAGAGAGGAGUUAAAGGUUUUACAAGAGGUUGCAAGAGAAGUAGCAACGGCAGAGCAACAACCAUUGAAGAACCUCAAAGCCUGCGCAAAUCCGGGGGAAAACUGUGCAUUUAUUGACUGUUGUGAAAUUAGUGGACAUAAUAUCGACUGUCUAGGCAAUCGUUGUUAUGACUGGAAUGAUCGCCCCUAUCCUCCGAUCGAUAUAUACUUAUCUAAUAAUUAAAGCUUAUUACAAAGCUUUGAUUUCUUGUGCUUACCAUAAUAUCACGUAGCUUACAUAGUUACAUGUAUGGCUCUAUGAAGCUACGUGUAUUAAUGAAUAAAACUAUAAAAGUGGACGUUGUAUCUUAUGCAUGUGUUUUAUAUGAAUUAAUAUUAAAGUUGUUGGUUGCCUAA